CGGAGUGUAGCGCAACCCGGUAGCGCACUUGCAUGGGGUGCAAGGGGUCGAAGGUUCAAAUCCUUUCACUCCGACCA
rnacentral:tRNA from 2 species